rnacentral:rRNA from 1 species
GACGAACGCUGGCGGCGUGCCUAAUACAUGCAAGUAGAACGCUGAAGGAGGAGCUUGCUUCUCUGGAUGAGUUGCGAACGGGUGAGUAACGCGUAGGUAACCUGCCUGGUAGCGGGGGAUAACUAUUGGAAACGAUAGCUAAUACCGCAUAAGAGUAGAUGUUGCAUGACAUUUGCUUAAAAGGUGCAAUUGCAUCACUACCAGAUGGACCUGCGUUGUAUUAGCUAGUUGUUGGGGUAACGGCUCACCAAGGCGACGAUACAUAGCCGACCUGGGAGGGGGAUCGGCCCCACUGGGACUGAGACACGGCCCAGACUCCUACGGGAGGCAGCAGUAGGGAAUCUUCGGCAAUGGACGGAAGUCUGAACGAGCAACGCCGCGUGAGUGAAGAAGGGUUUCGGAUCGUAAAGCUCUGUUGUAAGAGAAGAACGAGUGUGGGAGUGGAAAGUUCACACUGUGACGGUACCUUACCAGAAAGGGACGGCUAACUACGUG